GAGGCUCAGUUUUUUUCAUCUGUAAAAUGUGAAAAAUAAUGUCAGUGAGAGGUGAUAUGAGCAUUAAACAUUUUGAUCUAUUUGAAGGACUUUGAGUGGUGCCUGACACAU